CAUAAAUUCUUCCAAGUCAACCAAAAAUAAUAUACAGGGGAGCUCCUAGUCUAAAAAAGAGACUAGUAAAAAAUCAUAUUAAGAUUAACAAAACAGAUAAUUUUCUUCAACAAAAAGUUUUUUUUGGCUGUUGUACAAAAAGUAAAAAACGACAUAUAAAAACCUUUGAGGACCCACAUGGAAACAAAGAAUACAAAAUACAUGAAAUGAGCACUUGUUUUUCCAAGAAUGUGAUAUACCUUCUAACCUGUACAUGCCAUUUGUGCUAUGUGGGGAGAACUAAACUUCCCCUACACAUUCGAAUAAAUGAGCAUGUGCGCAAUAUUAAAAAGGGCUAUGAGAAACACAGCGUCUCAAGACAUUUUAAAUCUGUACAUAAUAGUGAUCCACAAUGUUUUUAAAUUUACUGUUAUACAGAAAAUUAAAACCAACUGGAGGGAAGAAGACAUGAGAGGAAUGUGUGAGAUGAAGUGGAUUUUUAAUCUAAACACACUAAGUCCCUCAGGUUUAAAUGAAGAUUUUGAGCUGUAUCACUUCUUAUAAAUUGGUCUAUAUUUUUACUCAUUAUAUUUACAUUGUUUACAUAUAUUGCAUUUUUUAAUAUACUAUAUUUGCUAUAUACAUAUUUUUAUCAUGUACUUUUUAAGAUAUUGUUUAGAUGAUAUAUAUUUUUAUAGAUAUCUUAUGGAUUAUGUAUUGGUUAUUUACAGAUAU